UACAGAGGGUGCAAGCGUUGUUCGGAAUUAUUGGGCGUAAAGGGCGCGUAGGCGGUGCGGUAAGUCUGUAGUGAAAUCUCUGGGCUCAACUCAGAGUCUGCUGCAGAAACUGCCGUGCUUGAGUGUGGGAGAGGUGAGUGGAAUUCCCGGUGUAGCGGUGAAUGCGUAGAUAUCGGGAGGAACACCUGUGGCGAAAGCGGCUCACUGGACCACAACUGACGCUGAGGCGCGAAGCUAGGGAGCAACAGG
rnacentral:rRNA from 1 species